rnacentral:rRNA from 1 species
GUGGGGAAUAUUGGACAAUGGGCGAAAGCCUGAUCCAGCCAUGCCGCGUGUGUGAAGAAGGUCUUCGGAUUGUAAAGCACUUUAAGUUGGGAGGAAGGGCAGUAAGUUAAUACCUUGCUGUUUUGACGUUACCAACAGAAUAAGCACCGGCUAACUUCGUGCCAGCAGCCGCGGUAAUACGAAGGGUGCAAGCGUUAAUCGGAAUUACUGGGCGUAAAGCGCGCGUAGGUGGUUCAGCAAGUUGAAGGUGAAAUCCCCGGGCUCAACCUGGGAACUGCUUUCAAAACUGCUGAGCUAGAGUACGGUAGAGGGUGGUGGAAUUUCCUGUGUAGCGGUGAAAUGCGUAGAUAUAGGAAGGAACACCAGUGGCGAAGGCGACUACCUGGACUGAUACUGACACUGAGGUGCGAAAGCGUGGGGAGCAAACAGGAUUAGAAACCCCAGUAGUCC